UACGUAGGGGGCGAGCGUUGUCCGGAUUUACUGGGCGUAAGGCGCGUGUAGGCGGCCCGUUAAGUGGGGUGUGAAAUCCUGGGGCUCAACCCCAGAACUGCCUUUGAUACUGGCGAUCUCGAGUCCGGAAGAGGUGAGUGGAACUCCUAGUGUAGAGGUGGAAUUCGUAGAUAUUAGGAAGAACACCAGUGGCGAAGGCGGCUCACUGGUCCGGUACUGACGCUGAGGUGCGAAAGCGUGGGGAGCAAACAGG
rnacentral:rRNA from 1 species